rnacentral:rRNA from 1 species
UACAGAGGUGUCAAGCGUUGUUCGGAGUCAUUGGGCGUAAAGCGUGCGUAGGUGGCGCGCUAAGUCAGGUGUGAAAUUUCGGAGCUUAACUCCGAAACUGCAUUUGAUACUGGCGUGCUUGAGGACUGGAGAGGAGACUGGAAUUCAUGGUGUAGCAGUGAAAUGCGUAGAGAUCAUGAGGAAGACCAGUGGCGAAGGCGGGUCUCUGGACAGUUCCUGACACUGAGGCACGAAGGCCAGGGGAGCAAACGGG